rnacentral:rRNA from 1 species
AGACCCGAAACCCGGUGAUCUAGCCAUGGGCAGGUUGAAGGUUGGGUAACACUAACUGGAGGACCGAACCGACUAAUGUUGAAAAAUUAGCGGAUGACCUGUGGCUGGGGGUGAAAGGCCAAUCAAACCGGGAGAUAGCUGGUUCUCCCCGAAAGCUAUUUAGGUAGCGCCUCGUGAAUUCAUCUCCGGGGGUAGAGCACUGUUUCGGCUAGGGGGCCAUCCCGGCUUACCAACCCGAUGCAAACUGCGAAUACCGGAGAAUGUUAUCACGGGAGACACACGGCGGGUGCUAACGUCCGUCGUGAAGAGGGAAACAACCCAGACCGCCAGCUAAGGUCCCAAAGUCAUGGUUAAGUGGGAAACGAUGUGGGAAGGCCCAGACAGCCAGGAUGUUGGCUUAGAAGCAGCCAUCAUUUAAAGAAAGCGUAAUAGCUCACUGGUCGAGUCGGCCUGCGCGGAAGAUGUAACGGGGCUAAACCAUGCACCGAAGCUGCGGCAGCGAACGUAUCACCCAAGACAACUUUACGGAGUUGACGAUUGACGGAGCGAAGCGACGUCAAAGCGUUCAUUAAAGUCGAGUUGGCUUAGGGAUACGUUCGUUGGGUAGGGGAGCGUUCUGUAAGCCUGUGAAGGUGUGUCGUGAGGCAUGCUGGAGGUAUCAGAAGUGCGAAUGCUGACAUAAGUAACGAUAAAGCGGGUGAAAAGCCCGCUCGCCGGAAGACCAAGGGUUCCUGUCCAACGUUAAUCGGGGCAGGGUGAGUCGACCCCUAAGGCGAGGCCGAAAGGCGUAGUCGAUGGGAAACGGGUUAAUAUUCCCGUACUUGGUGUUACUGCGAAGGGGGGACGGAGAAGGCUAUGUUGGCCGGGCGACGGUUGUCCCGGUUUAAGCGUGUAGGUGUGUGUUCCAGGUAAAUCCGGUUCACUUUAACACUGAGGCGUGACGACGAGGCACUACGGUGCUGAAGCAACAAAUGCCCUGCUUCCAGGAAAAGCCUCUAAGCAUCAGGUAACACGAAAUCGUACCCCAAACCGACACAGGUGGUCAGGUAGAGAAUACCAAGGCGCUUGAGAGAACUCGGGUGAAGGAACUAGGCAAAAUGGUGCCGUAACUUCGGGAGAAGGCACGCUGACACGUAGGUGAAGUGAUUUACUCAUGGAGCUGAAGUCAGUCGAAGAUACCAGCUGGCUGCAACUGUUUAUUAAAAACACAGCACUGUGCAAACACGAAAGU